rnacentral:rRNA from 1 species
ACGCUCGACACCUACGGGAGGCCGCAGUGGGGAAUAUUGCACAAUGGGGGAAACCCUGAUGCAGCGACGCCGCGUGAGCGAAGAAGUAUUUCGGUAUGUAAAGCUCUAUCAGCAGGGAAGAAACUGACGGUACCUGACUAAGAAGCACCGGCUAAAUACGUGCCAACAGCCGCGGUAAUCUGAGCGGGCUGGCAAGGC